rnacentral:rRNA from 1 species
UACGUAGGGGGCAAGCGUUGUCCGGAAUCAUUGGACGUAAAGCGCGCGUAGGCGGCCCGGUAAGUCCGUUGUGAAAGUCAAAGGCUCAACCUUUGAACGCCGAUGGAUACUGCCGGGCUAGAGUCCGGAAGAGGCGAGUGGAAUUCCUGGUGUAGCGGUGGAAUGCGCAGAUAUCAGGAGGAACACCAAUAGCGAAGGCAGCUCGCUGGGACGGUACUGACGCUGAGGCGCGAAAGCGUGGGGAGCGAACAGG